AAGGGAUAAGCAUAUGUCAGACAGAUGUACUCAGAUCAGGAACUUCCCUCAGUAAGGGAAGUCAGGACGGGUUUGUUUUCCUUCAUGGGUUUAAAUUAUGGGAACAAACCGUAAAGGUCUUUGAUGGAGGCCUUUAAGCACGCAUGCCACGCUGCCCAGCUGCACUGCUAGCACUGGGUUAGACACGUCCCCAGGCCUGGGUUCUGCUAACAUGCUCUGUGUGUACGCUCUGUACUCUGACUUCUCCUCAGCAAAACACGGCUGUGUCUAUUGCUGCUUUAUUAGCAUUUUUACUCCAGAGCAAUGCAAAACCACCAGCCCCAGAAAAAAAAAAUCCAUUUAAUUACAUUUUCCACCACAUCUGCUUGGAUCCAAGGGACUUGCUGAACACUGUGCUCCCUCCAGUUUGAUUUGACACCAAGUUCUCCAGCAGAAAGGAGACACAUCUGACAGAAGGGCAGCCCAUGGAAAGACAAAACUGUCAAAGAAAGAAGGAAGCGAAAACAAUCCAACUGAGCAUUUCCUUGCAAUGCAUCCUUUCCCUGGGAAGACAAGAAACUGCAUUUCAGCUGCUGUAGAAAAAGCACAAGCCAGAUGUGGAGUUCAAUGCCAGUGCAUCGACUAACAGGACAAAAAAUGUGCACAGGAGGUGUCAAACCCCAGAAUGCAGCAGCACAGAGGAGCUGAAGGGGUUCUUUCUUCUCCUCCACUUGGGUGCUUCAAGCAGUGGAGCUAAUGCAGCUCCAUUGGCGGAGCAGAUGAGCAUGGCAUCCUUAAUGCCCUGUGGCCUAGCAGAUUAAUUGUGCAACCAUUGUCCUCCCACUUUUCCUGCAUAUUAAAUUGGAGCUAAUGAGUCAUUAUCUGUGGUCUGCUUGGAAGAAUGAGUUGUUUGUUCAGCACUUUGAAAUCGUAAAUCAAUAUAUACUGCAAACGUGAUGUGCCGCCUACAACUUCAUUCAACAGAGAGCAGCAUUGGACAGGAAAAAAUGAUGUAUCACCCUGGCUCUUAAUGCUGCCCUCUGCAGAAUCUGGUGAUGCGGGUGACUCCUGGGUGUCUGUCUGGAGAGCAAGUAUGAUGGAAGGGGGCUUAUUCACCAUCUCCUGUGGGCAAAGUGAGCAAACCUAAAUGAAGUAAGAGGAAGAUAUAAAUGGUGAUCACCUGAAUCAUUCUGACAUCCAUAGAGUUACUAUUCAUUUAGUAAGCCAAUGACACAAGUAUUUCCUUUGGUACUCCAAGGUUCUCUCCAGGCAUAUCAGGCAGUAUUUUCAGACAAGCACUUAAAAAAAAAAAAAAAAAAAAAAGGGAAAAAAGUCACAUUCUGUGGCUACUUCUUAGGAUUGCCUUAAAUGUUGUCUUUAGAAUUCAAGGAAGUUUAGGAAAAAAAUCUAUUUUUCUUUCUGACAUAGCAUUUUCUGAGAUAGGUUGCAGCAGCUUUCAGGGCUCCCUGGAGUGCAGCAUUUUGAGAGAUAUAGCAUUUCCAGGCUCUGUUCAGCGCCACACCACCCCCUGUGCUUCUCCUCCUUCACUCCAGGGUUCUUCCCAGGGAUGCUCUGAAAAUAGAGAAGAUUUACCACCUGUAGGACUGCAGCUGGUACUGAAAGACUGCUGGAAAGAAAAAAAAAAAAAAA
ensembl:lncRNA